AGCGAACGCUGGCGGCAGGCCUAACACAUGCAAGUCGAACGAGACCUUCGGGUCUAGUGGCGCACGGGUGCGUAACGCGUGGGAAUCUGCCCUUGGGUUCGGAAUAACAGUUAGAACUGACUGCUAAUACCGGAUGAUGACGUAAAUCCAAAGAUUUAUCGCCCAAGGAUGAGCCCGCGUAGGAUUAGCUUGUUGGUGAGGUAAAAGCUCACCAAGGCGACGAUCCUUAGCUGGUCUGAGAGGAUGAUCAGCCACACUGGGACUGAGACACGGCCCAGACUCCUACGGGAGGCAGCAGUGGGGAAUAUUGGACAAUGGGCGAAAGCCUGAUCCAGCAAUGCCGCGUGAGUGAUGAAGGCCUUAGGGUUGUAAAGCUCUUUUACCCGGGAUGAUAAUGACAGUACCGGGAGAAUAAGCCCCGGCUAACUCCGUGCCAGCAGCCGCCGUAAGAC
rnacentral:rRNA from 1 species